rnacentral:rRNA from 1 species
UGCCAGCCGCCGCGGUAAUACGGAGGGAGCGAACGUUGCUCGGAUUCACUGGGCAUAAAGGGCACGUAGGCGGACUGUUAAGUUAGAGGUGAAAUCCCGGGGCUCAACCCCGGAACUGCCUUUAAUACUGGCAGUCUAGAGUUCGAGAGAGGUGAGUGGAAUUCCGAGUGUAGAGGUGAAAUUCGUAGAUAUCGGGAGGAAUACCGGUGGCGAAGGCGACUAUCUGGCCAAAUACUGACGCUGAGGUGCGAAAGCGUGGGGAGCAAACAGGAUUAGAUA